rnacentral:rRNA from 1 species
GCUAAUACCGCAUACGUCCUACGGNGAAAGCGGGGGAUCUUCGGACCUCGCGCCAUUAGAUGAGCCUAGGUCGGAUUAGCUAGUUGGUGAGGUAAUGGCUCACCAAGGCGACGAUCCGUAACUGGUCUGAGAGGAUGAUCAGUCACACUGGAACUGAGACACGGUCCAGACUCCUACGGGAGGCAGCAGUGGGGAAUAUUGGACAAUGGGCGAAAGCCUGAUCCAGCCAUGCCGCGUGUGUGAAGAAGGUCUUCGGAUUGUAAAGCACUUUAAGUUGGGAGGAAGGGUAGUAACCUAAUACGUUGCUACUUUGACGUUACCGACAGAAUAAGCACCGGCUAACUUCGUG